rnacentral:lncRNA from 10 species
AGUCCGCUGGGUUCGGAGGAGCAGAGGCGGAAGGUCCCGGCGGCGGCGAGGAUGCGCCCCAGGGCGGGAGCGGGACGCUCCACUUUACCCUGGCUGCCCGCAACGGGCCAGGCCUGCCGUCUCUACCUCUCUACCUGUGAGUUUUUUCCCUGCAUUUACUUCAGUCUGCCGCGUCUUCUCCCCGCCCUUCUCUGUAAGGUUGUAUCCACGAGUACCAGCAGAGUGCCUGACACAUAGUAGACAUAAGUAAGUAUGAAGAAUGACCAUGAUGGAGAAUUGAGAAACAAGACCAUCUGCAUCAACAGGAAUUUGGUAGCUGAUCUAGGAAUGCAGCCUGAAGAAAUCAGCACCUCCUAGAUACAGAAUGAACAGAAGGGCUCAGAAGAAAUAUGAG